AUUAUUAUUAUUCAGGCGGUGAGCUGGCAGAAACGUUAGCACGCCCGGCGAAAUUCUUAGCGGUGUUUCGUCUGCCGCUAUGUUCUGAUUUGAAAUUCCGCCGAGGUCGACUUUGCCUUUCAUCCUUUCGGGGUCGAUUAAAUAAGUACCAGUUACGCACUAGGGUCGAUAUAAUCGACUUAAUCC